rnacentral:tRNA from 1 species
GGAGGGAUGCCGGAGCGGCUGAACGGGACGGUCUCGAAAACCGUUGCGGGGGUAACCUCGCCCAGGGUUCGAAUCCCUGUUCCUCCG